rnacentral:rRNA from 1 species
AUUGAACGCUGGCGGCAGGCCUAACACAUGCAAGUCGAGCGAGCGGCGGACGGGUGAGUAAUGUAUGGGGACUGCCCGAUAGAUGGGGAUCACUACUGGAAACGGUGGUUAAUACCGCAUACUCUCGGAUAACCCAUAUGGGAUGAGCUAGUAGGUGGGGUAAAGGCUCACCUAGUAGACGAUCUCUAGCUGGUCUGAGAGGAAGAUGAGCCACACUGUGACUGAGACACGGCCCAGACUCCUACGGAGUCAGCAGUGGGGAAUCUUGCGCAAUGGGCGCAAGCCUGAUGCAUCCAUGCCGCGUGUAUGAAGAAGGCCUUGGUGUUGUAAAGUACUUUCAGCGGGGACGCGUUACCUGCUGAAGAAGCACCGGCUAACUCCGUGCCAGCAGCCGCGGUAAUAC